GUCUCUCUACUGGUGGAUCACGAUGGUGUAGAUCAAACUAGAAUAUCCGCCAGCAUGCUUCGGUUGUUGAUAUGUAUCUCAUCUCUAGGUAUUUCUUGAUUUCAUCAUAGUCGUUUGUUGCGUCCCUUUCCUUUAGUAAGGCUGUUACUUGGUCGUCAUCUUUAUGGAUGUACUUAAAUAGGUACUUGAUUGACCUGGACCUGUUGCACCACUCCACAUUUAUGUGAGCUUGGAAUUUGACCAAAAGGUUUCUGUUGUAUGGCACAACAAAUCUGUUAUCGAGCAUUGCUCCUCCCUUUUUGAUAUUCCUUCCAUUGUCUCGCC
rnacentral:lncRNA from 1 species